CAGCAAGGAGGGCAUGAAGAAAGUGUCACGGAGCAUUUGCCUUUGUGUUGCAAUGGUUGUUGUUGGCAACAUCCCUGAGUUGUACCCACAUUUCAUCUGUUUGAGCUCGUAUUGGGAGAUCAGAGAAGAGCUACAAGGAAGUGACAGGAAAGAUAAUAAUGAACCCAAGAAGCAUAGAAGGAGAGUGUUGGCAAGAGGAAAGGGAAUGGCUGCAGGAGAACAGAGGAGGGCACUUCUUGUAAAACCAAGUUAUGAAUAAUGGAUGCAAAGUGAAGCCUGCAUUUUGGUCUUAUUAGCAUGCACCUUGUCAGAAACUGCCUUCCCAGAGCUGUGAAUCCACUCUCCCUCGCUCUGCGGUCCCAGGUUCAGAACCAGGACCUUCUGCCUUGGCCUCCUACCUGCAUGAGUGGCUGGCCACUCUUAGCAUCCACUGCCCACCCUCUGUGGCCACAGGCGAUUCUGCUAAUCUGAGCCAUCUGUGCAUCUUGAUCACAAGGAAGAUACCACCCUAAGCCUCCAAGGCCAGUUGGCCAAACAGAGAUUUGGCCACUCCUCCAGGAAGAGGUUUCUCACUAUGUCAGACGCAUCUCUGUCAGAAGCCCUUGCAAACAGUCAAACCAUUUUGUACUAUCAUUUCUGAUACGCAGCUCAAGAGGCACCAUGGGUACAAUCACAUCUGACAUAAUAUAGCUGCUAGAACACUUGGCCUGGCAGUUUUAGAAAGGGACUUUCAUGAUUAAAACACUCUUUCUCAGGGCAGCAUCUGCGAUGCCACCUACAUCUUUUGCCUGAGGGAUUCCCAGAGGGUCAAUAUCACCUCCUUUUCCCUUCUUUUGCUAACUCAGUGAAGAAAGAGCAAAGAUGAGUGAGUCAGAGCUUGGGAUAAAUUAUUACACAUAUGUCUGUGCAUGUUUGCAUCUGAGAAUAAAUGAAAGAAAAAUUAACC
rnacentral:lncRNA from 1 species